UCAAAAACAUUUCUUUUAGGUUAAUUUUUAAAAGUAAUUUCUGCUCAAUGAUUAAUUUUAAAUAGCUGCAGUAUAUUGACUGUACAAAGGUAGCAUAAUAGUUAGGUUCUUAAUUAGGAUCUGGAAUGAAUGAAUUAAUGAGAAACUUGUUUUAUUUAUUUUAUUUUUAUAAUUUUAUUUUUGAGUAAGAAAGCUUAAUUGAUUUUUAGGGACGAUAAGACCCUAUAGAGUUUUAUAUUAAUAAGUAAAAUGGCAAUUUGGUUUAUUUAUAUAUUUAUUUUCCCUUAUUAAUUUUUUAUUGGGGUGAUAAAUAAGUUUAACUUUAUUAUAAUUUUUCAUUUUUAUUUAUGUGUUUGUUGAUCCAAAAUAUUUGAUUAUAAGAAAAAGUUACCUUAGGGAUAACAGCGUAAUUUUUAUGGGGAGUUCAUAUCUAUAUAAAAGUUUGCGACCUCGAUGUUGAAUUAAGAGAAGAUUUUGGGGUAGUUUUUAAUUUUUCUAAGUCUGUUCGACUUUUAAAUUCUUACAUGAUCUGAGU
rnacentral:rRNA from 1 species